CCUACGGGGGGCUGCAGUAGGGAAUAUUGCUCAAUGGGGGAAACCCUGAAGCAGCAACGCCGCGUGGAGGAUGAAGGUUUUCGGAUUGUAAACUCCUUUUGUUAGAGAAGAUAAUGACGGUAUCUAACGAAUAAGCACCGGCUAACUCCGUGCCAGCAGCCGCGGUAAUACGGAGGGUGCAAGCGUUACUCGGAAUCACUGGGAGGAAAGAGCGCGUAGGCGGGAUAGCAAGUCAGAUGUGAAAUCCUAUGGCUUAACCAUAGAACUGCAUUUGAAACUGUUAUUCUAGAGUAUGGGAGAGGUAGGUGGAAUUCUUGGUGUAGGGGUAAAAUCCGUAGAGAUCAAGAGGAAUACUCAUUGCGAAGGCGACCUGCUAGAACAUAACUGACGCUGAUGCGCGAAAGCGUGGGGAGCAAACAGGAUUAGAUACCCUUGUAGUC
rnacentral:rRNA from 1 species